rnacentral:pre_miRNA from 1 species
ACGUUGGCCGUACGAACAGGGGUUCCAGUGCAGAUACUUUGUUCGUUCGGCUCGCGUUA